AUUAAAAAGUAAGGGAUGAAGGCUUUCAAAAUAUACAUCUUAGAGAAAUUCAAAAGCUAAUAGACACCAAACCACAAUAGAGGAAUUCACAGAAGAUGAUUUGAUGGAGAUGAGUGUUUACAAUCCAGUGCCAGAUGGUGAAGAAAAAGACGAAGAAGAAACAGCGCCAGAAAAUAAACUGACAUUAGGCAAUCUGUCAAAAGAGUUAUGUUGAAGACCGCUUUUGACUUCUUUUAUGACAUGGACCUUUCUACGAUAUGGGCACUGAAACUAAAGCAAAUGGUGGAAGAAGCCUACUCAAUGGGGAAACCAUGAGGAUGAAGACUUUUAUAAUGAUUCAUUUCCACUUCAUAAACAAGAAUACAGAGGCCUGAGAAGAGGAUGGGAGAUGGGGGAACAGCCAGCCGGUGGAGCAGUCAGAACACAUAAAGCAAUUGUUGAUUAAGUGUGCCAUCUUACACAAGUAUGGUUCAUG